rnacentral:lncRNA from 1 species
UGGCUCAGACCACGGAACUGCCCUUUGAUACCAAUUGCAAGUUCUCUGACCCACUGUGGAUCCAUGCUCAGUCUGCAUACAACACUCAGGACAGAUCAUCGAGAGAGAAGGAAUCUACAUUCCCUCGCCAAAUGCAACACUAGAAGUGAACACAGACUUGGAAGUUGGCAACGUGCUUGAGAAAUGCUAGGGUGACUUAUCUGGGCUGCAGGCAAGGGAGCAAAGUGACCCAUGGGGCCAAUCACCAACACAGGAUCCACCAAGUAUUGAAUGACCAUUCUUGGUCAUCGCUAUUCAGAGAGGCAGAAGUAAUUUUUACUGGAAAGCCCACAAGCAUGACUUUUCCAUCCCUUCAGUUUGCAAGUUCGUGCAGAUGAUAGGAGAAAAAAUAGCCCAGCACAUUUGCAUUUAAGUCUUGAAAUCUAAAUAUUUCCAUGAGUCAUUCAUUAUUCCCGUA